AAUGACAAAUCUACAGGAAAGACAGUAAAGAAGUCUGCAGAAAGAUUAUUGUUGUUUUCUAUACAGGUUUGCAAAUGCUUUUUGCUGGCUAAGCAACACACUUUGGGGAGGAACCUAUUGGACUCAGUUGUCAACAACCACAGGGAUGGACUCAGAAUUGGGACUGGAAACUACUUCAGCAGUCUGAGACCAUUCUAGGUUUGGUACAAAAGAUUGGGAUCUUACUUCUAAAAUUCCACUUCCUUCUUUGGUACUUGCUAUUUAUCUCAGCAGGACACGGAGUUCUGUUCGUAGCAAUCCAUCGGGACAGGCGCUGACUUCUCGGAACGGCUGCGGACGGCGGGACCGCGCGUGGUGCGGAGCGCAGGUACGUGAUGGCGGGGAGCGGGAGGCGGGGCGGGGC